AGAAUCAACGCUGGCGGCGUGCCUAACACAUGCAAGUCGAACGCCUGUAGCAAUACAGGAGUGGCGCACGGGUGAGUAACGCGUGGGAACCUACCCUGGAGUGGGGGAUAACCGAGAGAAAUUUCGGCUAAUACCGCAUACGACCUGAGGGUGAAAGAUUUAUCGCUCUAGGAGGGGCCCGCGUCGGAUUAGCUAGUUGGUGGGGUAACGGCCUACCAAGGCAACGAUCCGUAGCUGGUCUGAGAGGAUGAUCAGCCACACUGGGACUGAGACACGGCCCAGACUCCUACGGGAGGCAGCAGUGGGGAAUAUUGGACAAUGGGGGCAACCCUGAUCCAGCAAUGCCGCGUGAGUGAUGAAGGCCUUAGGGUUGUAAAGCUCGUUUCGGCGGGGACGAUGAUGACGGUACCGCAGAAGAAGCCCCGGCUAACUUCGUGCCAGCAGCCGC
rnacentral:rRNA from 1 species